UACGUAGGUGGCAAGCGUUGUCCGGAUUUACUGGGCGUAAAGGGAGCGUAGGCGGAUACUUAAGUGGGAUGUGAAAUACCUGGGCUUAACCUGGGUGCUGCAUUCCAAACUGGGUGUCUAGAGUGUUGGAGAGGAAAGUGGAAUUCCUAGUGUAGCGGUGAAAUGCGUAGAGAUUAGGAAGAACACCAGUGGCGAAGGCGACUUUCUGGACAAUAACUGACGCUGAGGCUCGAAAGCGUGGGGAGCAAACAGGAUUAGAUACCCUGGUAGUCCACGCCGUAAACGAUGGGUGCUAGGUGUAGGGGGUAUCGACUCCCCCUGUGCCGCCGUUAACACAAUAAGUACCCCGCCUGGGGAGUACGGUCGCAAGAUUGAA
rnacentral:rRNA from 1 species